rnacentral:rRNA from 1 species
CCUACGGGAGGCAGCAGUGAGGAAUAUUCGUCAAUGGACGGAAGUCUGAACCAGCCAUGCCGCGUGCAGGAAGACGGCUCUAUGAGUUGUAAACUGCUUUUGUACAAGGGUAAACCUGAAUACGUGUAUUCAGCUGAAAGUACUGUACGAAUAAGGAUCGGCGAACUCCUUGCCAGCAGCCGCGGUAAUACGGAGGGUCCAAGCGUUAUCCGGAUUUAUUGGGUGGAAAGGGUGCGUAGGCGGGUUGAUAAGUUAGAGGUGAAAUGUCCGAGCUUAACUCGGGAACUGCCACUAAUACUGUUGAGCUAGAGAGUAGAUGCGGUAGGCGGAAUGUAUGGUGUAGCGGUGAAAUGCUUAGAGAUCAUACAGAACACCGAUUGCGAAGGCAGCUUACCAAUCUAUAUCUGACGUUGAGGCACGAAAGCGUGGGGAGCAAACAGGAUUAGAUACCCGUGUAGUC